GGUCUUAUAGUCAAACAAAUGAUUUUAAAUUGCAAAUUUAAAGGAGGGAUACCCCUAAGGCUU
rnacentral:tRNA from 1 species